rnacentral:tRNA from 1 species
AAAAUUGCCCGUCUAGCUCAGUUGGUAGAGCGCAAGGCUCUUAACCUUGUGGUCGUGGGUUCGAGCCCCACGGUAGGCGUUAUAAUUGUUUUUUAUUGUUCUCUCCCCAUUUCAUACGCUUAUCAUGUACAACCGAACAAUGAGUUUAAUUUAUUAUGGCAAUCCAUGUUUGAUUUUUGGGAAAAUUACAUUUACCUCCCUUGAGGUCACUUUAAAUGGAACAAACACCUCCUCUAGUUUUAAAAUAUACACUAAUCUCCCUUAAGUUCUUAUCAAAUAGAGAAAGAGCCCCACGGUGGGCGUUAUAAUUGUUUUUUAUUGUUCUCUCCCCAUUUCAUACGCUUAUCAUGUACAACCGAACAAUGAGUUUAAUUUAUUAUGGCAAUCCAUGUUUGAUUUUUGGGAAAAUUACAUUUACCUCCCUUGAGGUCACUUUAAAUGGAACAAACACCUCCUCUAGUUUUAAAAUAUACACUAAUCUCCCUUAAGUUCUUAUCAAAUAGAGAAAGAGCUCCCUUCUUCACUAACAACGUUAGUUUGUCCCUUAAAAAAAAUAGAAUUUUUGUAAAAGCACAUAGAUAACUUCAAUUUCGAGUAUGCAGCUAUAAACCAAAACCAUAUCAUUCAUAAUUUGGCACAUGAUCCUCAAUUUGCCACCCAAGAUACUUCUCCAGAUUCACAUACAAUGACAUCAAUUUAUUCAUGACAGUAAGGAU